UACAAUGAUGAGAGGACUGAUGGAUGGACAAUGAAUAACUAAUCUAUAUUUUUAUUUGAAAUGAAUAACUUCAAACUACAAAAUAUAGGAUUAGUCUAUCCAUUUGUAUAAAUCAUUUUAUACUUGAAUAUCCAUGGUUCUAAUGGUGAGCAACCCACCCUUGAUUUGAUCCAAAGUGAGAGACUAAUCCUUCCAAUGAUGAAUUGGGAGGAUUUUUUU
rnacentral:sRNA from 1 species